rnacentral:rRNA from 1 species
GUAGGUGGCAAGCGUUGUCCGGAAUUAUUGGGCGUAAAGCGCGCGCAGGCGGUUCUUUAAGUCUGAUGUGAAAGUCCACGGCUCAACCGUGGAGGGUCAUUGGAAACUGGAGAACUUGAGUACAGAAGAGGAAAGCGGAAUUCCACGUGUAGCGGUGAAAUGCGUAGAGAUGUGGAGGAACACCAGUGGCGAAGGCGGCUUUCUGGUCUGUAACUGACGCUGAGGCGCGAAAGCGUGGGGAGCAAACAGGAUUAGAUACCCUGGUAGUCCACGCCGUAAACGAUGAGUGCUAAGUGUUAGGGGGUUUUCCGCCCCCCUUAGUGCUGCAGCUAACGCAUUAAGCACUCCGCCUGGGAGUACGGCCGCAAGGCUG